GCUAACUCCGUGCCAGGAGGCGGUGGAAAACGGGUGAUCCUAGCGUUAGUCGGAUUUAUUGGGUUUAGAUGGUGCGUAGGCGGAAGAAUAAGUCAGUGGUUAAAGGUUGCAGCUCAACUGUAAAAUUGCCGUUGAAACUGUUUUUCUUGAGUGUAAAUGAGGUAGGCGGAAUGUGUUGUGUAGCGGUGAAAUGCUUAGAUAUAACACAGAACACCGAUUGCGAAGGCAGCUUACUAAGAUACAACUGACGCUGAGGCACGAAAGCGUGGGGAUCGAACAGGAUUAGAUACCCGAGUAGUC
rnacentral:rRNA from 1 species